UACGUAGGGGGCAAGCGUUGUCCGGAAUCAUUGGGCGUAAAGCGCGUGUAGGCGGCCAGGUAAGUCCGUUCUGAAAGCCCCGGGCUCAACCUGGGAAUUGCAUUCGAGACUGAAUAGCUAGGGUACGGUAGAGGGAAGUGGAAUUUCCGGUGUAGCGGUGAAAUGCGUAGAUAUCGGAAGGAACAUCAGUGGCGAAGGCGGGUCUCUGGGCCGUAACUGACGCUGAGGAGCGAAAGCGUGGGGAGCGAACAGG
rnacentral:rRNA from 1 species